UGGCGGACGGGUGAGUAAUGUCUGGGAAACUGCCUGAUGGAGGGGGGUAACUACUGGAAACGGUAGCUAAUACCGCAUAACGUCGCAAGACCAAAGAGGGGGACCUUAGGGCCUCUUGCCAUCGGAUGUGCCCAGAUGGGAUUAGCUAGUAGGUGGGGUAACGGCUCACCUAGGCGACGAUCCCUAGCUGGUCUGAGAGGAUGACCAGCCACACUGGAACUGAGACACGGUCCAG
rnacentral:rRNA from 1 species